rnacentral:rRNA from 1 species
UACGGGGGGAGCAAGCGUUGUUCGGAUUUACUGGGCGUAAAGGGCGCGUAGGCGGUCAGCACAAGUCAGUUGUGAAAUCUCCGGGCUUAACUCGGAAAGGUCAACUGAUACUGUGCGGCUAGAGUGCAGAAGGGGCAACUGGAAUUCUCGGUGUAGCGGUGAAAUGCGUAGAUAUCGAGAGGAACACCUGCGGCGAAGGCGGGUUGCUGGGCUGACACUGACGCUGAUGCGCGAAAGCCAGGGAGCGAACGGG